GACGAACGCUGGCGGCGUGCUUAACACAUGCAAGUCGAACGAUGAAGCCGGAGCUUGCUCUGGUGAAUUAGUGGCGAACGGGUGAGUAACACGUGAGUAACGUGCACUUGACUCUGGGAUAACUGCGGGAAACUGUAGCUAAUACCGGAUACGACCCUCGGAGGCAUUUCCUGGGGGUGGAAAGAAUUUCGGUCAAGGAUGGACUCGCGGCCUAUCAGCUAGUUGGUGAGGUAACGGCUCACCAAGGCGACGACGGGUAGCCGGCCUGAGAGGGUGACCGGCCACACUGGGACUGGGACACGGCCCAGACUCCUACGGGAGGCAGCAGUGGGGAAUAUUGCACAAUGGGCGCAAGCCUGAUGCAGCAACGCCGCGUGAGGGAUGACGGCCUUCGGGUUGUAAACCUCUUUUAGUAGGGAAGAAGCGAAAGUGACGGUACCUGCAGAAAAAGCACCGGCUAACUACGUGCCAGCCGCCGCGGUAA
rnacentral:rRNA from 1 species